GACGUAGGGCGCGAGCGUUGUCCGGAUUUAUUGGGCGUAAAGAGCUCGUAGGCGGCUCGUUGCGUCAACCGUGAAAACCCGGGGCUUAACUUCGGGCUUGCGGUUGAUACGGGCGGGCUGGAGUUCGGUAGGGGAGAUCGGAAUUCCUGGUGUAGCGGUGAAAUGCGCAGAUAUCAGGAGGAACACCGGUGGCGAAGGCGGAUCUCUGGGCCGAUACUGACGCUGAGGAGCGAAAGCGUGGGGAGCGAACAGG
rnacentral:rRNA from 1 species